GUCGUAACAAGGUAUCCCUACCGGAAGGUGGGGAUGGAUCACCUCCUUUCUAGGGAAAUAAUUUUUUAAAUAUUCAUCUUCAGUUUUGAAAGACUUAGUUCUUAUAAGUUUUUCUUUUUUAAGGAAAAGAAAAUGGGCCUAUAGCUCAGUUGGUUAGAGCACACGCCUGAUAAGCGUGAGGUCGAUGGUUCAAGUCCAUUUAGGCCCACC
rnacentral:tRNA from 1 species